rnacentral:misc_RNA from 1 species
AGGUGAACCUGCGGAAGGAUCAUUAAAAAAUAUAGAAUUAAUCUUCUGUAAACCCAAUCUGCGUAUUUCUACCUGUUGCUUUCGUGAGACUGUGAACGCAAGUUCCCUCUGGCGCUGUUUUUAGGAACAGCUGUUGGGGAGUGCUCACGGGAGGUAAUUAUAAACUCUGUUUUUUUGAAUUUUGUCUGAAUAUUGUUUAUACAUAAACUUUAAAACUUUCAACAACGGAUCUCUUGGUUCUCG